AGGUGUGGGAUGUUGUGCAGUGUU
rnacentral:miRNA from 1 species